rnacentral:lncRNA from 10 species
AACGCCGCGGAGAAAGGAGCCGCCGCCGCCUGCGGCCCUCUCCCGCCCGGUCGCGGGAGCAGCGGGGUGAGGAAGAGCCGGCUGCGGAGGAAGAGGAUAAGAGAGGGUCGCACCCUCCGCCCUAGCGCACGUCCCGCCGCCCUCCGGAGAGGCUCGGGUGCCGGCCCCUUCCUCCCCGAGGACGUGUGCCGAGUCGAGGCGCCUGCCCUGAGGGAGGAAAAUGCUCGGGCUCCAUGGCUGCCAGUGAUGGAGCGGUCCCUGGGCUCCCGCUGCCACCGCCGCCGCCGCGCCCCGGCCGUGCUCCGCGAGGACCCGGCGUCUCUGCGCGCCCGCCCGCGCCUCGUUGCUGGGCUCACCGUACCGGGCGCCUCGCCGCCGCCCCGCUCGCAGCCGCGUCGCCCCGGCCCCAGCCGCGGCCAGCGUUUCCUCACCGAGCAGCCGCCGCGAGCCCAGGGGGUUUGAAAGGGUCUGCGGGGCGCGGGGGGAGGGCCGAGCGGGGCCGGGAGGGGAGGUUUGAGCGACACUGAGCUCGGGGCUCGCUGGCGGCGGCGGCGGCCCCGGGGGUGGCGAGGGGAAGGCGACAUUUGCUUGGCGCUGCCUCCGUGCAGAGCGGCCGGGAGGGCUUUGCAGCGGCCGCCGACGCGGCGGGAGGAGGGGGCUGAGGCGGCUUCGGAGUUGGCCGGAGAAGGUGCUACCGCUGACGACACCCCUGGUGGAUGGCGAGGAUGAGAGCUCCUCUGGUGCAAGUGUGGUAGCUAUUGACAACAAAAUCGAGCAAGCUAUGGAUCUAGUGAAAAGCCAUUUGAUGUAUGCGGUCAGAGAAGAAGUGGAGGUCCUCAAAGAGC